rnacentral:piRNA from 1 species
UGAUUUCAGGCACACACACAGUGACUCAAAA